rnacentral:rRNA from 1 species
UACGAGGGGUGCGAGCGUUAUUCGGAUUUAUUGGGCGUAAAGGGUGCGUAGACGGUUUGUUAAGUCCGUUGUGAAAGCCCUGGGCUCAACCUGGGAAUGGCAGUGGAUACUGGAAAGCUAGAGUGCGGUAGAGGGUAGUGGAAUUCCCGGUGUAGCAGUGAAAUGCGCAGAUAUCAGGAGGAACACCGGUGGCGAAGGCGGGUCUCUGGGCAGUAACUGACGCUGAGGAGCGAAAGCGUGGGGAGCGAACAGG